rnacentral:rRNA from 1 species
GUCCACGCCGUAACGAUGUCGACUAGCCGUUGGCCCUUAUGGGUUAGUGGCGCAGCUAACGCAUUAAGUCGACCGCCUGGGAGUACGGCCGCAAGGUUAACUCAAUGAAUUGACGGGCCGGCACAAGCGGUGGAGCAUGUGGUUUAAUUCGAUGCAACGCGAAGAACCUUACCUACCCUUGACAUCCUCAGAAUUUGGCAGAGAUGCCUUAGUGCCUUCGGGAACUGAGAGACAGGUGCUGCAUGGCUGUCGU